rnacentral:rRNA from 1 species
UACGUAGGUGACAAGCGUUGUCCGGAUUUACUGGGCGUAAAGAGCGCGCAGGCGGUCGUUCAAGUCGAGUGUGAAAGCCCCCGGCUCCAACUGGGGAGGGUCACGGCGAUACUGGUCGACUCGAAGGCAGGAGAGGGUAGUGGAAUUCCCGGUGUAGUGGUGAAAUGCGUAGAUAUCGGGAGGAACACCAGUGGCGAAGGCGACUACCUGGCCUGUUCUUGACGCUGAGGCGCGAAAGCUAAGGGAGCAACGG